AUCGCUUCUCGGCCUUUUGGCUAAGAUCAAAGUGUAGUAUCUUUUCAUAUAAAAAUUUAUAAGGUGCGCGGGAACGUCAAAGAAUAGCAUCGCCUUAUUUGGGCAGAAAACGUUUUGAUGAGAAUUCUGGAGACAAGGUAUGUCGUGCAAACACGUGUCUGCCAAAUUGAAAUAUUUUGGAAUUUGGGAUUUUUAU